rnacentral:rRNA from 1 species
CUGUACAGUUCAGAGUUUGAUCCUGGCUCAGGAUGAACGCUGGCGGCGUGCUUAACACAUGCAAGUCGAACGGAACUCAUUGGAUCAAGACUUCGGUCAAGUGAAUUUGAGUUUAGUGGCGGACGGGUGAGUAACGCGUGAGGAACCUGCCUCGGAGUGGGGAAUAACAGUUGGAAACAGCUGCUAAUACCGCAUAAUGCAUACGGAUCGCAUGGUCUGUAUGCCAAAGAUUUAUCGCUCUGAGAUGGCCUCGCGUCUGAUUAGCUUGUUGGCGGGGUAACGGCCCACCAAGGCGACGAUCAGUAGCCGGACUGAGAGGUUGGCCGGCCACAUUGGGACUGAGACACGGCCCAG